rnacentral:lncRNA from 10 species
UUUCUUACUUUAAUUACUCUGUGUUCAGCAUGAAAAAUCAUUUCAAAAGGAGAUCAGACACUCCAGGAAGCAGAGCAUCACUCCCCACUUCUAAACUGUGGGCUUCACAUAAUGACAUCCUACCAAGAACUCAGUAUAGCAAAGGAGGAAAAAGAGUAACUUCACGUUGGAGAAACCUAACAAACACUGUCUCAGCCAGGUGAUCAAGGCCAGUGUGAGCAGUGAUCAGUCAAGUUGAAAGUGUGUAUCAUACGACAGGAUGAGAAUGGCAUUUUACCUUGACAUGUUCCCUCCCAAAACUAAUAAUCCCACUACAUCAGACAAACCUCAGCUGAGAAACAGUUCCCAAAAACACCUGACUAGUACCCCCUAAAACCAUCAAGGUCAUCAAAAACAAUGUAGGCCUGAGAAACGAUCACAGCCGGGAA